ensembl:snoRNA SNORA70 Small nucleolar RNA SNORA70
CUGCAGUCAAUUAAACCAGCUGUACUCUUUUUCUCAUAAGGCCUUGGUGUGAUGGCUGCAAACAGCCUCCUUUGUCAUAUACACAGCUGUUUCUUGUAUGGGUUGCUCUAAAGAACUUUGGAGACAGCC